GAUGAACGCUGGCGGCGUGCCUAAUACAUGCAAGUCGAGCGAACAGACGAGGAGCUUGCUCCUCUGACGUUAGCGGCGGACGGGUGAGUAACACGUGGAUAACCUACCUAUAAGACUGGGAUAACUUCGGGAAACCGGAGCUAAUACCGGAUAAUAUAUUGAACCGCAUGGUUCAAUAGUGAAAGACGGUUUUGCUGUCACUUAUAGAUGGAUCCGCGCCGCAUUAGCUAGUUGGUAAGGUAACAGCUUACCAAGGCAACGAUGCGUAGCCGACCUGAGAGGGUGAUCGGCCACACUGGAACUGAGACACGGUCCAGACUCUUACGGGAGGCAGCAGUAGGGAAUCUUCCGCAAUGGGCGAAAGCCUGACGGAGCAACGCCGCGUGAGUGAUGAAGGUCUUCGGAUCGUAAAACUCUGUUAUUAGGGAAGAACAAAUGUGUAAGUAACUAUGCACGUCUUGACGGUACCUAAUCAGAAAGCCACGGCUAACUACGCG
rnacentral:rRNA from 1 species